AGCGAACGUUUGCGGCGGGCUUAACACAUGCAAGUCGAACGGGCUGUUCCUUCGGGGCAGGUCAGUGGCGGCACGGUGCGUAACACGUAGGUAAUCAACCCUUCAGCUCGGGAUAACACUUCGAAAGGAGUGCUAAUAGCGGAUGUGACGCGGUGCUCUUCGGAGUGUCGCGGGAAAGAUCCGCAAGGGUCACUGAAGGACGAGCCUGCGGCCCAUCAGCUUGUUGGUGAGGUAACGGCUCACCAAGGCGAAGACGGGUAGCUGGUCUGAGAGGAUGAUCAGUCACACUGGAACCUGAGACACGGUCCAGACUCCUACGGGAGGCAGCAGUGGGGAACUAUUGCGCAAUGGGCGAAAUGCCUGACGCAGCCAACGCCGCGUGAGCGAUGAAGGCCUUCGGGUCGUAAAGCUCUGUGGGGGUAGG
rnacentral:rRNA from 1 species